rnacentral:rRNA from 1 species
GGAAUUGACGGGGACCCGCACAAGCAGCGAGCGUGUGGUUUAAUUCGUUGCUACACGAAGAACCUUACCUGGGUUUGACAUAUAGGUUGUAGGGAACUGAAAAGGGACCGACCUUCGGGGAGCCUAUACAGGUGUUGCAUGGCUGUCGUCAGCUCGUGUCGUGAGAUGUUCGGUUAAGUCCGCUAACGAGCGCAACCCUCGUCGUAUGUUAUAUGUGUCAUACGAGACUGCCGGUAAAAGCCGGAGGAAGGUGAGGAUGAUGUCAAGUCAGCAUGACCUUUAUAUCCAGGGCUACACACACGCUACAAUGGUCUGUACAAUGGGUAGCCAAGCCGCGAGGCGGAGCCAAUCCUGAAAGCAGGCCUCAGUUCAGAUUGCAGUCUGCAACUCGACUGCAUGAAGCCGGAGUUGCUAGUAACCGCAGGUCAGCAAUACUGCGGUGAAUACCGGUUCCCGGGUCUU